GACGAACGCUGGCGGCGUGCUUAACACAUGCAAGUCGAACGGAGCGAAUGAAAGCUUGCUUUUAUGAGCUUAGUGGCAAACGGGUGAGUAACACGUAGACAACCUGCCGAUCAGAUGGGGACAACAUUCCGAAAGGAAUGCUAAUACCGAAUGGUGUGCGAGGGAGGCAUCUCCCCCGCAUGAAAGAUGGCCAAUACAUGUAAGCUAUCACUGAUCGAUGGGUCUGCGUCUGAUUAGCUGGUAGGUAAGGUAACGGCUUACCUAGGCGACGAUCAGUAGCCGGUCUGAGAGGAUGAACGGCCACAUUGGGACUGAGACACGGCCCAGACUCCUACGGGAGGCAGCAGUGGGGAAUCUUCCGCAAUGGGCGCAAGCCUGACGGAGCAACGCCGCGUGAGUGAAGAAGGUCUUCGGAUCGUAAAGCUCUGUUGAAGGGGACGAACGUGUAUAGUGCAAAUAGUGCUAUAUAA
rnacentral:rRNA from 1 species